rnacentral:rRNA from 1 species
GCAAGUCGAACGAUGAAGCUUUAGCUUGCUAAAGUGGAUUAGUGGCGAACGGGUGAGUAAUAUAUAGCUAACCUGCCCCUUAGAGAGGGACAACAGUUGGAAACGACUGCUAAUACCUCAUACUCCUUUCUAACAUAUGUUGGAUUGGGAAAACUCCGGUGCUAAGGGAUGGGGCUUUACGGUAUCAGGUAGUUGGUGGGGUAAAAGCCUACCAAGCCAAUGACGCCUAGCUGGUCUGAGAGGAUGAUC